ensembl:lncRNA
UGAAGGAGCCCCUCAGCAUAGAACCAGUCUGCAGAUACUGAAAGAGGUGGGUUUUGCUAUUAUUAUUGCUUUUCUUUGGGUAUGUUUGGGCUUUUUUUGGUAGAGGUUUGUUUGUUGUUUUAGCUCCUAGCAUUCAAAAACACUAGCUGAACAGAGGCUAAGGAACAGAAGCUUUAGUGACUACCCACAAGAAACAGGUUUUGCAAAACUGUUCAGGGAAGUAACAAGAAAGAUAGACUUCUACAGCCUUAAACAAACAAACAAACAAACAAACCAGCAAAUCACUGUGAAGGGGGAGAAUCUACUUUUCAGAGGUACCACAUUAUAAUAUUCAAACGUCCAGUGUUCAACAACAACAGCAAAAAAAAUUACAAGGUGUAUAAAGAAACAGAAAAGUAUGAUUUAGUGAAAGGAACAGUAUGACCUUUGACAGAAAAGUCACUGAGGAAGUUCAAUGUUGUGAUAUUUGACAAAAACUUUAAAACAACUGUUUAUGCUAAAAAAAAAGACAAAGAAUUAAAGAAAACUGAAAACAGUGUAUUAACAAAAUCAGAAUAUCAGUAAAAAGUUUUAAAAAAGGACAGAAAUUUUGGAUUUGAAAAGUACAACUAUUAAAGUGAAAAAUUCACUCAAGGGAUUUAAUAGUACAUUUAAAUGAAAUGAAGAAUUAGCUAAAGAAAAGUAAAAGUAUGGUGUAGGGUGCAUGUAAGUACAUGGAGGGUGCCCAAAACAUGCAUUAUGAGAGUCUCAGAAAUAGCAGAGAAUGAGGGAGAGAGAGAGAGAGAAAGGGAGGAAAGGAGAAAGAAAAGAAGAAAAUGUCUGAAGAAAUAAUGUGCAAAAGCUCUCAGAUUUGAUGGAAGAGAUGGACAUAAGGAACUCAACAGUAUCCAAACAGGAUGGAUUCAAAGAUACCCACGCAAAGCCACAUCAUAAUAAACUGUCGGAAGAUAAAAGAGAAUCCUGAAAGCAGCAAGGGGGUAGCAACUUGUCAUAUACAAAGGAUCUUCAAUAAGAUUAACAGACAGUUUCUCAUCAGAAACCAUGAGGUCAGAAGACAUGGUUUAAACUGCUGGGGGGAAAAAAAAAAAAAACAACAACAACUGUUAACCAAGAAUUCUCAUCUAGCAAAACUGUCUCUUCAAAAAAUGGGGGA